ncrna:unclassified sequences Transposase-1 RNA
CGUUAAGAGAUUGUCUCUGUCUUUAUUUACUUUGUUGAAUAAAGGGAAUGCAAUUGCUGA